rnacentral:rRNA from 1 species
AUGGUUAAGUUAGAAAGGGCGCACGGUGAAUGCCUUGGCACUAGGAGCCGAUGAAGGACGGGACUAACACCGAUAUGCUUCGGGGAGCUGUAAGUGAGCUUUGAUCCGGAGAUUUCCGAAUGGGGAAACCCACUCUUCGUAAUCCAACAGUAUCUUUAUCUGAAUACAUCGGAUAU